AUUGCAGACCCGGAGGCCGUGGCUGUGGUUCGCGGCGGUGCUGUCGCGGGCGCCCUGGCGCAGCCCACGCAGGGGCUCCUGAGGGUCCGCGAGGCCGGGAGGUCCGGGGGUCGGGAGGUCCCGGGGUCGGGAAGUCGGUGGACCCUGCAGGGAGACAUAAGACAUCAGUCAGUACAUGUGAGGUGUGCAUUGGAUUGAUCCAGAAAGUCAGGACGACUCCAAGUGGAAAGGCCUCCAGAGACAGGAGACAGUAAAAGAAAUGGCCUCUCUCCUCUGUCAGAGUGGAGUCCCGAGCUCCCAGAAAUGCCACAUGAUGGACAAACGCUUGGGGGAAAAAAAAAAAAAAGGAGACCUCAGUCGGACACAAAAGCAGGAGCUUUAAAAGAAAAAAUAAGAGAUAAGUUGAACUUCACCAAAAAAUAAGCGUUUCUGGUCUUUGAAAGACACUUAAAAUGAAAAGGCAAGCCAUCGAUGGGGAAAAUACUCAGAAUAAUGGAUCUGACAGAGGGCUGUAUCUAGAAUAUAUGAAGAUAUUUUAAAAUCCAGUAAUUUGACAUAAAGAUGGUAGCCAGCCUGACACACAAAGGAACCCGAAUGGCCAAUGGACAGGAAGGGAACCCGUAUGGCCGAUGGACAGAAAGGGAAGUGAACGUGAACAUCUCAUUGGGGAUGCCGUUAUCACCACUGGAAUAGUCAAAAACAUGGACACCAAGUAUUGGUGGGUGAGUGGAAUGGCGGGAACCCACAUACACGGUCGAUGGGAGCUGCACCCUUUGGAAAUCAUUUCACAGUUUGUGCUCCAUCCUGGCCAAACCCACAGCUGGAGUCUUUCCAAAAACAGUGACGGGAGUUUCCACCAGGGAGUGCCUCAAACCAUCCCGAGAUGGGGCUGGUUGGGAUUCCAGGGAGAGGCACUCGUUGCCAGGGUGAUCCGUCCAGAGCACUUCCUAGGGGAUCUGGCAUAAGGAGGGCUGCAGUGUAUCCUCAGGACAGAUAGGACAGAUAGUGUAUCUUUGGGACAGACGGCAAGAUGGGGAUUCCACCCAGGUCUGUCUGCAGCGAGUUGAUAUGAGAGUUUAAGGAAUUUGGACCAGGGCUGCUUUGUUUCAGGGUUUUGGGCAAUGACCUAAACACCUUUAUCAGUGCCUGGGAAUGCUCAAGGCCCAGCUUGAGUUCAGGCCUGCAGGGAAAACCUGCAACUGGCCGGGCUGCAGAGUGGUCAGGGCACGGAAAGCCAGAAGCUGGGGACACACCUGCUGUAUGAUCCAGCCGUUCGUCUUUACCUGGGAGAAAUGGCACCACCUGGCUGAACAUAACUUCUUACACUCCCAUGAGUCCUCCUGGACAGGUGCUGUGACCUCGUGCAGCCUUGGGGACCCUGACACUCCCACGGACAGGCCAAGGGGUUUGCCUGGGCCCUGUGGGCACAGAGCCCCUUGAGAUGGGUUUCCCUAUGCAGCCCCCCACCCCCCACCGGGGACCCAUGGCACUGCAGCCCUCACCCCCC
rnacentral:lncRNA from 10 species